CCUACGGGUGGCAGCAGUGAGGAAUAUUGGUCAAUGGGCUUACGCCUGAACCAGCCAAGUCGCGUGAGGGAAGACUGCCCUAUGGGUUGUAAACCUCUUUUGUCAGGGAGCAACGCCGGCUACGUGUAGCCGGACUGAGAGUACCUGAAGAAAAAGCAUCGGCUAACUCCGUGCCAGCAGCCGCGGUAAUACUGAGGAUCCGAGCGUUAUCCGGAUUCAUUGGGUUUAAAGGGUGCGUAGGUUGUUUUAUAAGUUAGCGGUGAAAUACCGAUGCUCAACAUCGGGGCUGCCGCUGAUACUGUAGGACUAGAGCUCGGAUGCAGCAGGCGGAAUGUGUAGUGUAGCGGUGAAAUGCAUAGAUAUCACGCAGAACUCCGAUUGCGAAGGCAGCAUACCGGCGCCCGACUGACGCUGAGGCACGAAAGCGUGGGGAUCGAACAGGAUUAGAUACCCGUGUAGUC
rnacentral:rRNA from 1 species